UGCAAAUUAAUAAUAUGUGAUCUAACACAAUUUCCAUCGCUUCUUCAGUCACACUAUCAGAUAUUGUUUUUUCUCAGUAUCCUUCUUGUCUCCUCCAUCUGACAGCGCCACAAUCAGAUCUCGUUUUCCCUCACCAUGAUUGCCCUAUACCCCUAUUCUUUGCCACCAAGGUCGCGAUGCUCAUUCUAUCUCGUCUCUUCUCAACCACACUCGGAAAAGGGAAUAGAUUUGUGUAUUAUGGGUUGGUUUGCUAAGUUUCUCAAUGGCUCCAAUCAUAGAAUUUUACAAGGACAAUACAAUGACAAACAUGUUGAUGAUAAAAUUUGGGAUAAUCAUCAUAGUUCAAUGGAUGAUUUAACGGAUGUCAAGAAAAAAGAUAUCGACCCGACCGUGCAAUUGCACUGUCUCUAUGAAAGAAGGAUCUGAAAAGGAAAAAAGUUGUUGAGUUAUGAUCAUUGAUCUUCUGCAUGCUCUUGAACACUACUUGCUAGUUCAUUCCAACCUCUAGUUCGGCCUCCAAAGUUACGUGCAGGGAACCAUUUACAAUGCAUAUUACAAUUUGUUUGGGUGAAUCAAGAAGAUGCUAUAGAGAUUUUAACUGCUUUUGCCAAUGCAUCUCAUGCACUACAGCCACUCAAAGUUCCUGAAUCCAGGAAUGCAAUUAUGUUGUGGGUGAUUAUGAUAGUGACUUGUUUGAUACAUAAGGAGCUUUGGAAUCACAUUCAAGAAAAGCGAUUAUGAAGCUGGCAGGAGUGUAUUUGAGACUUAAAUGGUGUAGAGAAUUCAGGAAAAUGCCGAGGUUGGGAAAAACAAGUACUAAAGAAAAUCUUUCUACGUUGUCUAGUAAAAGAAAGUAAAAAAGAAAAUCAUAAUACAUUGCAAAUUUGAACCAAAGGUAGGUUCUGUUUUGUGAAUUAGAUUCCUAUUUUUUAAUUUUUGUUCUUUCUAAUGGAACACAAACUACAAGACUGUGUGGAUACUGCAAAUUGAAACCCAACAAAUGAAAAUUUGGAUUCUUACAAGUUACAUGUGUGACUAUUUCUAAGAUUUCUGUCUUUAUGCAAUACGAUCAGUGUCUUUGAUUUAGGAUUAGCUAUGAUGGUGUAAUUGAUGUAUAAUGUAAACAUUUGUGAUAAAAAAUUCUCUUCCUAGGUGGCUCCAUUA